rnacentral:snoRNA from 1 species
AAUCCAUGAUGUGGACACUGACGGAGCAGCCUCUUGGACCUUUCCCAAGCUUCAUAAUAGCACUCCGAGUCAAGUUGAGAGAAUGUGGUGAUUUCGUCCCUCAACCU